rnacentral:rRNA from 1 species
GACGGAGGAUGCAAGUGUUAUCCGGAAUCACUGGGCGUAAAGCGUCUGUAGGUGGUUUAAUAAGUCAACUGUUAAAUCUUGAGGCUCAACCUCAAAAUCGCAGUCGAAACUAUUAGGCUAGAGUAUAGUAGGGGUAAAGGGAAUUUCCAGUGGAGCGGUGGAAUGCGUAGAGAUCCGGAAGAACACCGGUGGCGAAGGCGGCCUGCUGGGCAGUUGCUGACACUGAGGCGCGACAGCGUGGGGAGCAAACAGG